rnacentral:lncRNA from 1 species
GGGCAGACUUGUGAUUGCCUGCAAUAGUGGAAUGCUGAGAGCUGUUGCCACCUUCUUCUGAGUUUACUGGUAAUAAGUAGGAUUCACAUGGUAACAGUUGCCCGUGGAACCAUUUUCACAGACAAAACUAUAACCAUAAGAUUACAUUCUUGACAUAGCCAAGUGCAAUUCUAAAAGUUUAUCUGGAAACUCAUUUUCUGAAGUUUCAACUUUAAUCUCCAAUUUUGUUGGAGUGGAGCUAAAUCCUCUGAUCAGCGUUACCAAAAUGCCAAUUUCCUCUGAUACUUCUCUAAAAGCAACUGCUGCUGGGAGCAAUCAGGCCUCUGAUGAGGGUCACCUGACCCAGCUCAGGAGCUUGAAGAAAGGGCCAAUGGACCAGGCCUGAGAAGUGACUACUUCCUAAGAAAUGGAUGGCAGUGUAAGAAAAUAAACAACUUGCUAAAACUGCUGAAACUCCCUCUGCUUGUGAGAUUUAAAAAAAAUGGAUGAAAUUGGUUGGAACCAACAUGGCCAAUGGAGUCUGAGUAGAAAGAGCUUGCUGACGUCACAGCCCGAAUUUCCACCACAUUUCAUACUAACUCCCCCUAAAUUUGCAUAUGCAAACCACGAGCAAGGAUGAUCAAACAGACAACUGCGCAUGUCCGAGGACUUUCCAGAUCUCCCCUUUCCUUCCACCAAUCACUUACUAAUCUGAGAAUCCAUCCCCUAAUAAAAUCACUGCCUUAAAACCUGCACAGGAAGACAAAUUUGAGCUGGACUUAGUGUCUCUUUAUUAGUCGACUUGCAAUAAAAAAGCUUUCUUUUCCC